CACCGCGGUUAUACGAGAGGCCCAAGUUGACAAAACUCGGCGUAAAGAGUGGUUAAUGGAUACUAUACUAAAGCCGAACAUCCUCAAGACUGUUAUACGUGUUCGAGGACAGGAAGACCUCCGACGAAAGUGGCUUUAACAAACAUGAACCCACGAAAGCUAGGGAA
rnacentral:rRNA from 1 species